rnacentral:rRNA from 1 species
UACAGAGGUCUCAAGCGUUGUUCGGAUUCAUUGGGCGUAAAGCGCACGUAGGCGGCUAUUCAAGUCAGAGGUGAAAGCCCGGGGCUCAACCCCGGAACUGCCUUUGAAACUAGAUAGCUAGAAUCUUGGAGAGGCGAGUGGAAUUCCGAGUGUAGAGGUGAAAUUCGUAGAUAUUCGGAAGAACACCAGUGGCGAAGGCGACUCGCUGGACAAGUAUUGACGCUGAGGUGCGAAAGCGUGGGGAGCAAACAGG